UUUUUGCGGGGUGAGAGACCGCUGAAAAGUUUAGCCUGUUGCCUCGUGAAGUGACGUCAAAAUGACAUCACAUUGUCGCGGAAGAUUUGUUGUCACCAACCAUCUUAGUUCAAACUCACUCUGGAUAUAUUACAACCAAGUGAUUGUGCAGCAACGGGAACUGGACAGAUGAUCUGUGAAUUCGGAUAAGCAAGGGGGAAAAUGUUACACGACCAUUCCAGGAGAUAAAAUCAAGAAUGUUGAAUCAUUGAGGAACACACCAAAUAAACCCUGGGCUGUGAAUUAUGUUAACGGAAGUGGACGUGAACACCAAAGAAAGAAGAUU
rnacentral:lncRNA from 1 species